GUGCUCACUUUAGCAACACAUAUAUUAAAAUUAGAACAAUACAGAAAAGAUUAGCAUGGCCUAUGAACAAGGAUGAAACAAAUUCAUCAAGCAUUCCAUAUUUAA